GGACCAGAGCACCGAGGGGCAUGAGCUGGUGGCGAGGCCAGACGUGGUCGGGGCCCAGCGAGUGAACCCUGCUCCGUCUUCAGUUCAGGAUGUGACAGUGACUCGGGGCGACCAGGCUAUGUUUUCUUGCAUCGUGAACUUCCAGCUGCCAAAGGAGGAGAUCACCUAUUCCUGGAAGUUCGCAGGAGGAGCUCCGGACUCAGGACUUGUCCUAUUUCCGAGAUAUGCCGCGGGCCGAAGGAUACCUGGCGCGGAUCCGGCCGGCUCAGCUCACGCACCGCGGGACGUUCUCCUGCGUGAUCAAGCAAGACCAGCGCCCCCUGGCCCGGCUCUACUUCUUUCUUAACGUGACGGGCCCGCCCCCGCGGGCGGAGACAGAGUUGCAGGCCUCGUUCCGGGAGGUGCUGCGCUGGGCGCCGCGGGAUGCCGAGCUGAUCGAGCCCUGGAGGCCCAGCCUGGGCGAGCUGCUGGCCAGGCCCGAGGCUCUGACGCCCAGCAACCUAUUCCUGCUUGCAGUCCUCGGGGCCCUCGCAUCAGCGAGUGCGACAGUGUUGGCGUGGAUGUUCUUUCGAUGGUACUGCAGUGGCAACUAACAAAGAUAUCUCUUUCCUCCUUCCCUAUCCUAUUUCCAUCCUGAAAAUAAAGAAUAUAUUUCGACUGUA
rnacentral:sRNA from 1 species